rnacentral:rRNA from 1 species
UACGGAGGAUGCGAGCGUUAUCCGGAUUUAUUGGGUUUAAAGGGUGCGUAGGCGGGAGAUCAAGUCAGCGGUAAAAAUGCGGGGCCCAACCCCGUCGAGCCGUUGAAACUGGUUUUCUUGAGUGGGCGAGAGGUAUGCGGAAUGCGUGGUGUAGCGGUGAAAUGCAUAGAUAUCACGAAGAACUCCGAUUGCGAAGGCAGCUCACUGGACUGCAACUGACACUGAGGCUCGAAAGUGUGGGUAUCAAACAGG